rnacentral:rRNA from 1 species
UUUAUGGAGAGUUUGAUCCUGGCUCAGGAUGAACGCUGGCGGCGUGCCUAAUACAUGCAAGUCGAGCGAACGGACGAGAAGCUUGCUUCUCUGAUGUUAGCGGCGGACGGGUGAGUAACACGUGGAUAACCUACCUAUAAGACUGGGAUAACUUCGGGAAACCGGAGCUAAUACCGGAUAAUAUUUUGAACCGCAUGGUUCAAAAGUAAAAGACGGUCUUGCUGUCACUUAUAGAUGGAUCCGCGCUGCAUUAGCUAGUUGGUAAGGUAACGGCUUACCAAGGCAACGAUGCAUAGCCGACCUGAGAGGGUGAUCGGCCACACUGGAACUGAGACACGGUCCAGACUCCUACGGGAGGCAGCAGUAGGGGAUCUUCCGCAAUGGGCGAAAGCCUGACGGAGCAACGCCGCGUGAGUGAUGAAGGUCUUCGGAUCGUAAAACUCUGUUAUUAGGGAAGAACAUAUGUGUAAGUAACUGUGCACAUCUUGACGGUACCUAAUCAGAAAGCCACGGCUAACUACGUGCCAGCAGCCGCGGUAAUACGUAGGUGGCAAGCGUUAUCCGGAAUUAUUGGGCGUAAAGCGCGCGUAGGCGGUUUUUUAAGUCUGAUGUGAAAGCCCACGGCUCAACCGUGGAGGGUCAUUGGAAACUGGAAAACUUGAGUGCAGAAGAGGAAAGUGGAAUUCCAUGUGUAGCGGUGAAAUGCGCAGAGAUAUGGAGGAACACCAGUGGCGAAGGCGACUUUCUGGUCUGUAACUGACGCUGAUGUGCGAAAGCGUGGGGAUCAAACAGGAUUAGAUACCCUGGUAGUCCACGCCGUAAACGAUGAGUGCUAAGUGUUAGGGGGUUUCCGCCCCUUAGUGCUGCAGCUAACGCAUUAAGCACUCCGCCUGGGGAGUACGACCGCAAGGUUGAAACUCAAAGGAAUUGACGGGGACCCGCACAAGCGGUGGAGCAUGUGGUUUAAUUCGAAGCAACGCGAAGAACCUUACCAAAUCUUGACAUCCUUUGACAACUCUAGAGAUAGAGCCUUCCCCUUCGGGGGACAAAGUGACAGGUGGUGCAUGGUUGUCGUCAGCUCGUGUCGUGAGAUGUUGGGUUAAGUCCCGCAACGAGCGCAACCCUUAAGCUUAGUUGCCAUCAUUAAGUUGGGCACUCUAAGUUGACUGCCGGUGACAAACCGGAGGAAGGUGGGGAUGACGUCAAAUCAUCAUGCCCCUUAUGAUUUGGGCUACACACGUGCUACAAUGGACAAUACAAAGGGCAGCGAAACCGCGAGGUCAAGCAAAUCCCAUAAAGUUGUUCUCAGUUCGGAUUGUAGUCUGCAACUCGACUACAUGAAGCUGGAAUCGCUAGUAAUCGUAGAUCAGCAUGCUACGGUGAAUACGUUCCCGGGUCUUGUACACACCGCCCGUCACACCACGAGAGUUUGUAACACCCGAAGCCGGUGGAGUAACCUUUUAGGAGCUAGCCGUCGAAGGUGGGACAAAUGAUUGGGGUGAAGUCGUAACAAGGUAGCCGUAUCGGAAGGUGCGGCUGGAUCACCUCCUUUCU